CCUACGGGAGGCAGCAGUGGGGAAUUUUGGACAAUGGGCGCAAGCCUGAUCCAGCCAUGCCGCGUGUCUGAAGAAGGCCUUCGGGUUGUAAAGGACUUUUGUCAGGGAAGAAAAGGCUGUUGCUAAUAUCGACAGCUGAUGACGGUACCUGAAGAAUAAGCACCGGCUAACUACGUGCCAGCAGCCGCGGUAAUACGUAGGGUGCGAGCGUUAAUCGGAAUUACUGGGCGUAAAGCGAGCGCAGACGGUUACUUAAGCAGGAUGUGAAAUCCCCGGGCUUAACCUGGGAACUGCGUUCUGAACUGGGUGACUAGAGUGUGUCAGAGGGAGGUAGAAUUCCACGUGUAGCAGUGAAAUGCGUAGAGAUGUGGAGGAAUACCGAUGGCGAAGGCAGCCUCCUGGGAUAACACUGACGUUCAUGCUCGAAAGCGUGGGUAGCAAACAGGAUUAGAUACCCCAGUAGUC
rnacentral:rRNA from 1 species